GACGAACGCUGGCGGCGUGCUUAACACAUGCAAGUCGAACGGAAAGGCCCUGCUUUUGUGGGGUGCUCGAGUGGCGAACGGGUGAGUAACACGUGAGUAACCUGCCCUUGACUUUGGGAUAACUUCAGGAAACUGGGGCUAAUACCGGAUAGGAGCUCCUGCUGCAUGGUGGGGGUUGGAAAGUUUCGGCGGUUGGGGAUGGACUCGCGGCUUAUCAGCUUGUUGGUGGGGUAGUGGCUUACCAAGGCUUUGACGGGUAGCCGGCCUGAGAGGGUGACCGGCCACAUUGGGACUGAGAUACGGCCCAGACUCCUACGGGAGGCAGCAGUGGGGAAUAUUGCACGAUGGGCGGAAGCCUGAUGCAGCAACGCCGCGUGCGGGAUGACGGCCUUCGGGUUGUAAACCGCUUUCGCCUGCGACGAAGCGUGAGUGACGGUAAUGGGUAAAGAAGCACCGGCUAACUACGUG
rnacentral:rRNA from 1 species